rnacentral:rRNA from 1 species
UACGUAGGGACCAAGCGUUGUUCGGAUUUACUGGGCGUAAAGGGCGCGUAGGCGGCUUGUACAGUCAGACGUGAAAUUCCUGGGCUCAACCUGGGGGCUGCGUUUGAUACGUGCGGGCUUGAGUUCGGAAGAGGGUCGUGGAAUUCCCAGUGUAGAGGUGAAAUUCGUAGAUAUUGGGAAGAACACCGGUGGCGAAGGCGGCGACCUGGUCCGAUACUGACGCUGAGGCGCGAAAGCGUGGGGAGCAAACAGG